rnacentral:rRNA from 1 species
UUCCGGUUGAUCCUGCCGGACCCCACUGCUAUCGAGGUGGGACUAAGCCAUGCUAGUCGAACGAACAGAACUAUGUCUGUAAGUGGCAUACUGCUCAGUAACACGUAGCUAACCUACCCUUAGGACGUCGAUAACCCCGAGAAAUUGGGGCUAAUAAGCGAUAGAUGUGAUGUCCUGGAAUGGUAUCACGUCUAAAAGUAUCUCAUACAUGUUUGAGUUACGCCUAAGGAUGGGGCUGCGGCCGAUCAGGCAGUUGGUGAGGUAAUGGCUCACCAAACCUUUGACCGGUACGGGCCAUGAGAGUAGUAGCCCGGAGAUGGACACUGAGACAAGGGUCCAGGCCCUACGGGGCGCAGCAGGCGCGAAACCUCCUCAAUGCACUAACGUGCGAAGGGGUUACCUCGAGUGCUACCUGAAGAAGGUGGCUUUUCCUUGGUCUAAAAAGCCUCGGGAAUAAGAGGGGGGCAAGACUGGUGUCAGCCGCCGCGGUAACACCAGCCCCUCGAGUGGUGGGGAUGAUUAUUUGGCCUAAAGCGUCCGUAGCCGGCCGGGUAAGUUUCCCGUUAAAUCCAGCGUCUCAAGCGUUGGACUGCGGGAAAUACUGCCUGGCUAGAGAGUGGGAGAGGUGUACGGUAUUCUGGGGGUAGGGGCGAAAUCCUUUGAUCCCCGGAGGACCACCAGUGGCGAAGGCUGUACACUAGAACACGUCUGACGGUCAGGGACGAAAGCUGGGGUAGCGAACCGGAUUAGAUACCCGGGUAGUCCCAGCUGUAAACGAUGCAUGCUAGGUGUUGGGUUGGCCACGAGCCACCCCAGUGCCGCAGGGAAGCCGUUAAGCAUGCCGCCUGGGAAGUACGAUCGCAAGAUUGAAACUUAAGGGAAUUGGCGGGGGAGCACCACCAGGCGUGAAGCCUGCGGUUUAAUUGGAUUCAACGCCGGA